rnacentral:rRNA from 1 species
UACGUAGGGUGCGAGCGUUAAUCGGAAUUACUGGGCGUAAAGCGUGCGCAGGCGGUUUUGUAAGCCAGAUGUGAAAGCCCCGGGCUUAACCUGGGAAUGGCAUUUGGGACUGCAAGGCUUGAGUGCGGCAGAGGAGACUGGAAUUCCUGGUGUAGCAGUGAAAUGCGUAGAUAUCAGGAGGAAUACCGAUGGCGAAGGCAGGUCUCUGGGCUGACACGUGACGCUCAUGCACGAAAGCGUGGGGAGCAAACGAGG